rnacentral:rRNA from 1 species
AGUGAACGCUGGCGGUAGGCCUAACACAUGCAAGUCGAACGGCAGCACAGUAAGAGCUUGCUCUUACGGGUGGCGAGUGGCGGACGGGUGAGGAAUACAUCGGAAUCUACUUUUUCGUGGGGGAUAACGUAGGGAAACUUACGCUAAUACCGCAUACGACCUACGGGUGAAAGCAGGGGAUAUUCGGACCUUGCGCGAAUGAAUGCGCCGAUGUCGGAUUAGCUAGUUGGCGGGUUAAAGGCCCACCAAGGCGACGAUCCUUAGCUGGUCUGAGAGGAUGAUCAGCCACACUGGAACUGAGCCACGGUCCAGACUCCUACGGGAGGCAGCAGUGGGGAAUAUUGGACAAUGGGCGCAAGCCUGAUCCAGCCAUACCGCGUGGGUGAAGAAGGCCUUCGGGUUUUAAAGCCCUUUUGUUGGGAAAGAAAAGCAGCAGGUUAAUACCCCGCUGUUCUGACGGUACCCAAAGAAUAAGCACCGGCUAACUUCGUG